CUUCCCCGUAGCCUCAGCGCCGCUAGUUCCUCGCCGCGUGUGUAGUGCAGUGUUCAGUGCCGUAACCCUAUUUUCGUGUGAGUACGAGUGACCGUUUUCUCACAGUGCAGCGGUUCGUCAUCCUUGCCCUUCACAGAGGUUGCAGAUUGCUUGGCAGUUAAAGUGACUGAUGGAAUGUACCUAAGCUAACAACUUCAUGGUGAUGUAAUGUCAAGUGUCGUAUUGCGCAGUGCUCGACCAUCAGGCAAACCGUUCAGAGGGACACCUUCUCUCUCCCGGUGACAACCCGCCGACGCCGCCUGCCCCGCCCAUGACUCCUGCUGUAAUAAGGUGUGGAGUGAUGAAAAGCCAGCCUGAAUAUGUAACGUCUCUCAUUCGUUCUCAUCCAAUCACGAGGCACAGCAGAGUUUGGGUUCAUCCUGCACUUCCUCAAUCUGCUGGUGCGAAGAGACUGUUACUUAAUGUUUGGAUCUGAGUGGCCUGGGGUUGUGGAUGGCUGGGUGACGGUCUGUGUUACUUCACGACACAAAGGCAUCGGCAGACACUCGUGAUUUUGAGCGACUCUUUUCAGCUGGAUGUGCUCAGUGACGAAUGCCAAGCUUUUACUAUACUCUGUUUUUUAUUUUGUUUUGCGUACACACUGACGAAGUAGCUGAGGUGGCUAGAAACGUUUCCUAGAGAAUCUUUGUGCACAUCCAAAAAGAGCAUAUCAUGGAAGGGAGAACCGUUAGAUGACUGAUAAUAUUAAGACGAUACAAAUAUUUCAGCUUGA